rnacentral:rRNA from 1 species
GAUGAACGCUGGCGGCGUGCUUAACACAUGCAAGUCGAACGGAAAGGCCCAAGCUUGCUUGGGUACUCGAGUGGCGAACGGGUGAGUAACACGUGGGUGAUCUGCCCUGCACUUCGGGAUAAGCCUGGGAAACUGGGUCUAAUACCGGAUAGGACCACUUCUUGGAUGUUGUGGUGGAAAGUUUUUUCGGUGUGGGAUGAGCUCGCGGCCUAUCAGCUUGUUGGUGGGGUAAUGGCCUACCAAGGCGUCGACGGGUAGCCGGCCUGAGAGGGUGUACGGCCACAUUGGGACUGAGAUACGGCCCAGACUCCUACGGGAGGCAGCAGUGGGGAAUAUUGCACAAUGGGCGCAAGCCUGAUGCAGCGACGCCGCGUGGGGGAUGACGGCCUUCGGGUUGUAAACUCCUUUCGCUAGGGACGAAGCGUUUUGUGCCGGUACCCGGAGAAGAAGCACCGGCUAACUACGUG